GACGAACGCUGGCGGCGUGCCUAAUACAUGCAAGUCGAACGAACGGAGGACGGGUGAGUGAUUUAUGGGCAAGUGGGUAACGGAGCGGGCUAACUACGGUAAACGGUAGCUACUACCGCAUACCAUGCUAUCUGCUCACAGGGGAUUAGCUAGUAGGGGGGGUAACGGCUCACCAAGGCGACGCUCCCUAGCUGGGCUGAGAGGAUGACCGGCCAAACUGGAACUGAGACACGGUCCAGACUCCUACGGGAGGCAGCAGUGGGGAAUAUUGCACAAUGGGCGAAAGUCUGAUGCAGCCACGCCGCGUGUGUGAAGAAGGCUUUCGGGUUGUAAAGCACUUUUAGUGGGGAGGCGUUACCCGCAGAAGAAGCACCGGCUAACUACGUGCCAGCAGCCGCGGUAAUAC
rnacentral:rRNA from 1 species